GACCCCAUUACACUGUGGAGCUUGGCCCAAUUGUGCGCGAUCCUGAACGGACUUUGUGAAUUGGUGGUUGUUUGCAGGCCGAUUUGUUCGAUCUGGUUGUGUUGCACAUGAUCGAGAAUGCCCUGGCCGGAUUCAACACGUCCCUCAUCUGCUACAGCUAGGUUUCUUUGGACUUUGUUAAAAGUCUGUAUGCAAAGUUCAUAUAUUGGGAUGAAGAUAUGUAUGACCUGGAAAA